AAUUAAUAAGUUUUAAGUUAAACAUAUGUCUUGAAAUCAUAAAUAAGAAGUUAGAUUCUUCUAUUAAUUU
rnacentral:tRNA from 1 species